UCUGGCUGUAUGGUGACAGAGAAAGGCUGUCAUUAUGUGUCUUCAGCUCUGAGUUCAAACCCCUCACACCUGAGAGAGCUGGAUCUGAGCUACAAUCACCCAGGAUAUUCAGGAGUCAAGCUGCUUUCUAAAAAACAUAAGGAUCCAAACUGCAAACUGAACAAACUCAGUGUGGAUCAUGGAGGAGAAUCCAGGAUUACAGCAGGACUGAAGAAAUAUGCCUGUUUUCUCACACUGGAUCCAAACACAGCAAACAAUCAUCUCAUUCUGUCUGAGGAGAACAGAAACGUGACAAAUGGCUCAAAGGACAAAAUAUCUCUUGAAAAAGAUAGGGAACUGCUUGUUGAAGAAAUACGAAAACGAGCACCAAACAAGACCCUGGUUGCCCACAAGAUGGACCAAACAUUUCCCUUAUGAAGAAAAGAAAUAGUGGAAACAGAGCCACUGAUCAGAACAAUGUUGGAACGCUGGCCAGCACUAUUUACAGAGCGUGAGGUCUUUGCAGAAUUCACCAGGAUAACCUGCAAGAACCUUCAGAAUGAAUUCUUUGGUGAACCAGACAAACAUACACCCUGUCUAAUGAAGAUUUUCAAGUCUAAAACUGGGACCUUGGGUCAGACUUUGGCAGAAUUACUAGAGCAAGUUCAGACAAGAAGAAACACCAAUCAAGCAUCAUGCCAGGAAAAUGAGGUUACGCUUCGGCGCACUGCGGUUCUCCGUGGCAUCCCUGUCCUUUUUGGGGACGACCCCUCACAAUUUUUCAAAGUCUGCUUUGACUCAGAUGAAAACAACUUUGAGCACAUUCCUGUUGGCUUUCUGACAGUCCACAAUGAAGAUUCUCCUCACAGCCCUUCAUCACUUCCUGAGAUCUGACCUGCAGUUCACGUGAUCACUACUGAGAUGACAUGAUUCAAAACGUGAUGUCAUAAGAAAAACAUGCUUGUUCAAUUCACUUUCUUGAACAGAUUCAGUUCUGUUUAUUAAGUUGUCUUGAGAAAGCCAACUUACUGAAAUCCGACUUAAACGUACAGUUAUUAUUAUUCUUCUGAGACUAACUCUAACUCCUCCUAGAGCUUUAACUCUACAAACUCCAAACUCAGCCCAGAUCUUCAAACUGAUCUGACUCGAGUUGCUAUAUCUUUUCUAACUGAUCGGACUUACGUUUUUUCUAAAAAUGACGAUUAAAAUGGGGGAAAAUCCCAUAGACUUACAUUGACGGAAUGUUCAAAUGAGCCAACACUUUUUAAAUUUCAACUGUCAAAACUCCCAGAAUCCUUUGAGACUCAAUCAAGCUUCCCUUCUAUGUACUGUAUUUCUAAUCAAAUUAAACUUAU